GGUGAGAACUGGGCUUCCCGGCUACGUUUUGCUGGUUUUCCCUGCGUUGCCUUAACCGGUCGCGUAGGGUGGCUAGCGAGUUUACUUUGAAAAAAUUAGAGUGCUUCAAGCGGGCUUUAAGUCUGAAUACUCGUGCAUGGAAUAAUAGAAUAGGAUCUCGGUUCUAUUUUGUUGGUUUUCUGAAUUGAGAUAAUGGUUAAGAGGGACAGACGGGGGCAUUCGUAUCGCUACGUGAGAGGUGAAAUUCUUGGACCGUAGCGAGACGCACGACUGCGAAAGCAUUUGCCAAGAAUGUCUUCAUUAAUCAAGAACGAAAGUCAGAGGUUCGAAGGCGAUCAGAUACCGCCCUAGUUCUGACCGUAAACGAUACCAACUAGCGUUCCGCCGCUGGCAAACACGCCUUGGCGGGCAGCUUCCCGGAAACGAAAGUUUUUCGGUUCCGGGGGAAGUAUGGUUGCAAAGCUGAAACUUAAAGAAAUUGACGGAAGGGCACCACCAGGAGUGGAGCCUGCGGCUUAAUUUGACUCAACACGGGAAAACUCACCUGGCCCGGACACCGUGAGGAUUGACAGAUUGAGAGCUCUUUCUUGAUUCGGUGGUUGGUGGUGCAUGGCCGUUCUUAGUUGGUGGAGUGAUUUGUCUGGUUUAUUCCGAUAACGAGCGAGACUCUAGCCUGCUAAAUAGAACGAGGAUAAACCUUUUCAUAGGUCCUCGAUGCUUCUUAGAGGAAUUAGCGG
rnacentral:rRNA from 1 species